UACGGAGGGUGCAAGCGUUAUCCGGAUUCACUGGGUUUAAAAGGGUGCGUAGGCGGGCAGGUAAGUCAGUGGUGAAAUCUUUGGGCUUAACCCGAAAACUGCCAUUGAUACUAUCUGUCUUGAAUAUUGUGGAGGUUUGCGGAAUAUGUCAUGUAGCGGUGAAAUGCUUAGAUAUGACAUAGAACACCUAUUGCGAAGGCAGCAAACUACGCAUAUAUUGACGCUGAGGCACGAAAGCGUGGGGGAUCAAACAGG
rnacentral:rRNA from 1 species